rnacentral:rRNA from 1 species
GAUGAACGCUGGCGGCGUGCCUAACACAUGCCAGUCGAACGGAAAGACGCUGAGCUUGUUCCUUUCACGUUUGCGGCGGGCGGGUGGGUAACGUGUGGAUCACGUCCUUCUCUUUCGGGGAUAAUCACGGAACGCCGGCUACAAUACCACAUCAUAUCUUGAACCGCUGGGUUCAAUGGUGAAUGACGGCUUUGGUGGCUGUACUAGCUGGUUUCGGGCUGGAUUAGCUAGUUGGUAGGGUCACGGCUUACCAAGGCUACGAUGCGUAGCCGACCGGAGAGGGUGAUCGGCCACACUGGAACUGAGACACGGUCCAGACUCCUACGGGAGGCAGCAGUAGGGAAUCGUCGGCAAUGGGCGAAAGCUUGACGCAGCAACGCCGCGUGAGUGAUGAAGGCCUUCGGAUCGUAAAGCUCUGUUAUUGGGGAAGAACAGAUGUGGAAGUAACCAUGGACGUCUUGACGGUACCUAAUCAAAAAGCAACGGCUAACUACGUG